GAAGAGCACUCCUACGGGAGGCAGCAUGGGGGAAUAUUGCACAAUGGGCGCAAGCCUGAUGCAGCCAUGCCGCGUGUAUGAAGAAGGCCUUCGGGUUGUAAAGUACUUUCAGCAGUGAGGAAGGUGGAUAUGUUAAUAGCAUAUUCAUUUGACGUUAGCUGCAGAAGAAGCACCGGCUAACUCCGUGCCAGCAGCCGCGGUAAUACGGAGGGUGCGAGCGUUAAUCGGAAUUACUGGGCGUAAAGCGCAUGCAGGUGGUUUGUUAAGUCAGAUGUGAAAGCCCGGGGCUCAACCUCGGAAUUGCAUUUGAAACUGGCAAACUAGAGUACUGUAGAGGGGGUAGAAUUUCAGGUGUAGCGGUGAAAUGCGUAGAGAUCUGAAGGAAUACCGGUGGCGAAGGCGCCCCCCUGGACAGAUACUGACACUCAGAUGCGAAAGCGUGGGGAGCAAACAGGAUUGGAUACCCUGGUAG
rnacentral:rRNA from 1 species